rnacentral:misc_RNA from 1 species
GUUUCUUCCUCUAUAAACAUCAUCAAACUAUCUCUCCUUCAUCAAUUCCUCUGCUUUCUUCGCAUUUCAGAAGCUACUUCCAUGGCUGCUGCACCAGCUUCCUGGCUUUUCCCUCUGCUUUUUCUAAGCUCUGUUUUCGCUUUCACUUCUCCAGCCACCAUCACCAUCCCCAUCUCCCCCUCUACCCACCACUACUCUUCCUCAGAUCCAUGGAAAAUCCUCAAUCACCUAGCUUCUCUAUCCCUUUCCAGAGCCCACCAUAUUAAGUUUCCCAAUACCAACGUCUCUCUCGUCAAGACCCC